rnacentral:rRNA from 1 species
AUUGAACGCUGGCGGCAGGCCUAACACAUGCAAGUCGAGCGGAUGAAGGGAGCUUGCUCCUGGAUUCAGCGGCGGACGGGUGAGUAAUGCCUAGGAAUCUGCCUGGUAGUGGGGGAUAACGUCCGGAAACGGGCGCUAAUACCGCAUACGUCCUGAGGGAGCAAGUGGGGGAUCUUCGGACCUCACGCUAUCAGAUGAGCCUAGGUCGGAUUAGCUAGUUGGUGGGGUAAAGGCCUACCAAGGCGACGAUCCGUAACUGGUCUGAGAGGAUGAUCAGUCACACUGGAACGGAGACACGGUCCAGACUCCUACGGGAGGCAGCAGCGGGGAAUAUUGGACAAUGGGCGAAAGCCUGAUCCAGCCAUGCCGCGUGUGUGAAGAAGGUCUUCGGAUUGUAAAGCACUUUAAGUUGGGAGGAAGGGCAGUAAGUUAAUACCUUGCUGUUUUGACGUUACCAACAGAAUAAGCACCGGCUAACUUCGUG